rnacentral:rRNA from 1 species
GCGGCACGGGUUGAGUAAUGCAUAGGAAUCUGCCUUGUAGUCUAGGAUAGCCACUGGAAACGGUGAUUAAUACUGGAUAUUCCGGAGACGGGAAAGUUUUUCGCUACAAGAUGAGCCUAUGUUCUAUCAGCUUGUUGGUAAGGUAAAAGCUUACCAAGGCUAUGACGGAUAACUGGUCUGAGAGGAUGAUCAGUCACACUGGAACUGAGACACGGUCCAGACUCCUACGGGAGGCAGCAGUAGGGAAUUUUGCACAAUGGGGGAAACCCUGAUGCAGCGACGCCGCGUGGAGGAUGAAGGUUUUCGGAUCGUAAACUCCUUUUUUAUGGGAAGAUAAUGACGGUACCAUAAGAAUAAGCACCGGCUAACUCCGUGCCAGCAGCCGCGGUAAUACGGAGGGUGCAAGCGUUACUCGGAUUUACUGGGCGUAAAGGGUGCGUAGGUGGAUGUGUAAGUCAGAUGUGAAAUCCUAGGGCUCAACCUUAGAACUGCAUUUGAAACUACACGUCUUGAGUUUGGGAGAGGUAGAUGGAAUUCUCGGUGUAGGGGUAAAAUCCGUAGAUAUCGAGAGGAAUACUCAUUGCGAAGGCGAUCUACUAGAACAAUACUGACACUGAGGCACGAAAGCGUGGGGAGCAGACAGGAUUAGAUACCCUGGUAGUCCACGCCCUAAACGAUGAACACUAGUUGUUGCGAUGCACGUCAUUGCAGUAACACAGCUAACGCAUUAAGUGUUCCGCCUGGGGAGUACGGUCGCAAGAUUAAAACUCAAGGAAUUGACGG